rnacentral:rRNA from 1 species
AUUGAACGCUGGCGGUAGGCCUAACACAUGCAAGUCGAACGAGUGGCGGACGGGUGAGUAAUGUCUGGGAAACUGCCCGAUGGAGGGGGAUAACUACUGGAAACGGUAGCUAAUCCCGCAUACCAUCGGAUGUUCCCAGAUGGGAGUAGCUUGUAGGUGAGGUAACGGCUCACCUAGGCGACGAUCCCUAGCUGGUCUGAGAGGAGGACCAGCAACACUGGAACUGAUACAGGGUCCAGACUCCUACGGCAGGCAGCAGUGGGGAAUAUUGCACGAUGGGCGCAAGCCUGAUGCAGCAGUGCCGCGUGUAUGAAGAAAGCAGUCGGGUUGUAAAGUACUUUCAGCGUGGAGGCGUUACCCGCAGAAGAAGCACCGGCUAACUCCGUGCCAGAAGCCGCGGUAAUAC